rnacentral:rRNA from 1 species
UAAUACAGAGGGUGCGAGCGUUAAUCGGAAUCACUGGGCUUAAAGCGUUCGUAGGCGGGUCUGUAGGCGCGUUGUGAAAGCCCUCGGCUCAACCGGGGAACUGCUUCGCGAACCACAGAUCUUGAGUCAAGUAGGGGCGAUCGGAACGAUAGGUGGAGCGGUGAAAUGCGUAGAUAUCUAUCGGAACGCCGAAGGUGAAGACAGGUCGCUGGGCUUGUACUGACGCUGAGGAACGAAAGCGUGGGGAGCAAACGGGAUUAGAUACCCCGGUAGUCCACGCCGUAAACGAUGCGCACUAGGUCGGGGAGGUUUGACGCCCUCCUGGCCGCAGCAAAAGUGUUUAGUGCGCCGCCUGGGGAGUACGGUCGCAAGGCUA